UACGGAGGGUGCGAGCAUUAAUCGGAUUUAUUGGGCGUAAAGGGCGCGUAGGCGGCAAUGUCAGUCAGAUGUGAAAUCCCGGGGCUCACCCCCGGAACAGCAUUUGAAACUACAUUCCUUGAGGGUAGGCGGAGAAAAUGGAAUUCCACAAGUAGCGGUGAAAUGCGUAGAUAUGUGGAAGAACACCAGUGGCGAAGGCGGUUUUCUAGCUUACUCCUGACGCUGAGGCGCGAAAGCAAGGGGAUCAAACAGG
rnacentral:rRNA from 1 species